AGCGAACGCUGGCGGCAGGCCUAAUACAUGCAAGUCGAGCGGUCCCUUCGGGGGCAGCGGCGGACGGGUGAGUAACGCGUGGGAACGUGCCCUUUGGUACGGAACAACUGAGGGAAACUUCAGCUAAUACCGUAUGUGCCCUUCGGGGGAAAGAUUUAUCGCCAUUGGAGCGGCCCGCGUUGGAUUAGGUAGUUGGUGAGGUAAAGGCUCACCAAGCCUACGAUCCAUAGCUGGUCUGAGAGGAUGAUCAGCCACACUGGGACUGAGACACGGCCCAGACUCCUACGGGAGGCAGCAGUAGGGAAUCUUGCGCAAUGGGCGAAAGCCUGACGCAGCCAUGCCGCGUGAAUGAUGAAGGUCUUAGGAUUGUAAAAUUCUUUCACCGGGGACGAUAAUGACGGUACCCGGAGAAGAAGCCCGGCUAACUUCGUGCCAGCAGCCGCGGUAAGCUAGCUACG
rnacentral:rRNA from 1 species